AGGGUUUGAUUAUGGCUCAGAUUGAACGCUGGCGGCAGGCCUAACACAUGCAAGUCGAGCGGAUGACAGGAGCUUGCUCCUGAAUUCAGCGGCGGACGGGUGAGUAAUGCCUAGGAAUCUGCCUGGUAGUGGGGGACAACGUUUCGAAAGGAACGCUAAUACCGCAUACGUCCUACGGGAGAAAGCAGGGGACCUUCGGGCCUUGCGCUAUCAGAUGAGCCUAGGUCGGAUUAGCUAGUUGGUGAGGUAAUGGCUCACCAAGGCGACGAUCCGUAACUGGUCUGAGAGGAUGAUCAGUCACACUGGAACUGAGACACGGUCCAGACUCCUACGGGAGGCAGCAGUGGGGAAUAUUGGACAAUGGGCGAAAGCCUGAUCCAGCCAUGCCGCGUGUGUGAAGAAGGUCUUCGGAUUGUAAAGCACUUUAAGUUGGGAGGAAGGGCAUUAACCUAAUACGUUAGUGUUUUGACGUUACCGACAGAAUAAGCACCGGCUAACUCUGUGCCAGCAGCCGCGGUAAUACAGAGGGUGCAAGCGUUAAUCGGAAUUACUGGGCGUAAAGCGCGCGUAGGUGGUUUGUUAAGUUGGAUGUGAAAGCCCCGGGCUCAACCUGGGAACUGCAUUCAAAACUGACAAGCUAGAGUAUGGUAGAGGGUGGUGGAAUUUCCUGUGUAGCGGUGAAAUGCGUAGAUAUAGGAAGGAACACCAGUGGCGAAGGCGACCACCUGGACUGAUACUGACACUGAGGUGCGAAAGCGUGGGGAGCAAACAGGAUUAGAUACCCUGGUAGUCCACGCCGUAAACGAUGUCAACUAGCCGUUGGGAGCCUUGAGCUCUUAGUGGCGCAGCUAACGCAUUAAGUUGACCGCCUGGGGAGUACGGCCGCAAGGUUAAAACUCAAAUGAAUUGACGGGGGCCCGCACAAGCGGUGGAGCAUGUGUUUAAUUCGA
rnacentral:rRNA from 1 species